rnacentral:rRNA from 1 species
GACGAACGCUGGCGGCGUGCUUAACACAUGCAAGUCGAACGGACUUUUAAUGAAGCCUAGCGAUUUAAAAGUUAGUGGCGGACGGGUGAGUAACGCGUGGGUAACCUGCCGUAUACAGGGGGAUAACAGUUAGAAAUAGCUGCUAAUACCGCAUAAGCGCACAGCUUCGCAUGAAGCAGUGUGAAAAACUGAGGUGGUAUACGAUGGACCCGCGUCUGAUUAGCUAGUUGGUGAGGUAACGGCCCACCAAGGCGACGAUCAGUAGCCGGCCUGAGAGGGUGAACGGCCACAUUGGGACUGAGACACGGCCCAAACUCCUACGGGAGGCAGCAGUGGGGAAUAUUGCACAAUGGGGGAAACCCUGAUGCAGCGACGCCGCGUGAGUGAAGAAGUAUUUCGGAUUGUAAACCUUUGUAGUACAGGGAAGAAACAAAUGACGGUACCUGUAAAGUAAGCCACGGCUAACUACGUG